UCCUCGAUAGUAUAGUGGUGAGUAUCUCCGCCUGUCACGCGGAAGACCGGGGUUCAAUUCUCCCGUCGGGGAG